GGGGAAUUUUGGACAAUGGGCGCAAGCCUGAUCCAGCCAUGCCGCGUGUGGGAAGAAGGCCUUCGGGUUGUAAACCACUUUUGUCAGGGAAGAAACGGCUCUUACUAAUAUUAGGGGCUAAUGACGGUACCUGAAGAAUAAGCACCGGCUAACUACGUGCCAGCAGCCGCGGUAAUACGUAGGGUGCAAGCGUUAAUCGGAAUUACUGGGCGUAAAGCGUGCGCAGGCGGCUUUGCAAGACAGAUGUGAAAUCCCCGGGCUCAACCUGGGAACUGCAUUUGUGACUGCAUGGCUAGAGUACGGUAGAGGGGGAUGGAAUUCCGCGUGUAGCAGUGAAAUGCGUAGAUAUGCGGAGGAACACCGAUGGCGAAGGCAAUCCCCUGGACCUGUACUGACGCUCAUGCACGAAAGCGUGGGGAGCAAAC
rnacentral:rRNA from 1 species